UGGGGAAUAUUGGACAAUGGGGGCAACCCUGAUCCAGCCAUGCCGCGUGAGUGAUGAAGGCCUUCGGGUUGUAAAGCUCUUUUGGCGGGGACGAUGAUGACGGUACCCGCAGAAUAAGCCCCGGCUAACUUCGUGCCAGCAGCCGCGGUAAGACGAAGGGGGCUAGCGUUGUUCGGAAUUACUGGGCGUAAAGCGUGUGUAGGUGGUUGUCAUAGUCAGGUGUGAAAGCCUUGAGCUCAACUCAAGAAAUGCACUUGAUACUGGGCGACUAGAGGACCGGAGAGGAUAGUGGAAUUCCCAGUGUAGUGGUGAAAUACGUAGAGAUUGGGAAGAACACCAGUGGCGAAGGCGGCUAUCUGGACGGUUUCUGACACUAAGACACGAAAGCGUGGGGAGCAAACAGGAUUAGAUACCCCGUAGUCC
rnacentral:rRNA from 1 species